UUCGCUAUUAAAAUAUUUCCCCCCAAUACUGAAGAAUCUUAAACCAGCAACCCUAACAGAGAUUGCGAAGAUUUUCAAAGUGGGGCACCUCGAUUUCUCGAAUCUGUGGUGUGGCGAAUAUCCGUGUUCCUCCUGCUUAACUAGCCUGUUUGAAGGCACAGUUCAUUCUCGAGCAAUUCGUCACCUCCUGGGGGUCUUCUCUUCCCGUCUACAGGAGAGUGUGACUUCAGAAAGAACUUCGGAUUGGCCAAGGCCAUUAAAGCUGGUGAGCGACUUGGAAGUCAUUUAGAAAGGAACAGACCUUCAACCUCAAGCCUUUGCGGGCACUGGGAAAGUGUCUUCCCAAUCAAUCUGGCUUGCAGGCGGCAGGACCAACUCUGACCUGGCUUAUCUUGUACCCAUCCUAAAUACACCAAACUCAAGAGGUAGCCAGGGCCGCCUCAACACCGAGGCAGGUCUGAUUCUAUUUAUUCUAAAGACAGAGUUGGAGAUGGGCUACCAUUGGUGUUGAUUGAGAUGACAAGCAGUCACCUGAGCCCAUACAGCUGGCUUCACAGAUGUGGCUAGUCUUGCUAGCCAGCUCGCACUGUGGAAAUUCUAGGGAACUGACUGUAGUCCUCAUGCUUGGAGUCAAACACUUUAACCACUGCACACGUUUAUGUAAUAGGAUUGACAUAUGAGAAUCAGAGAAAUGAAUGAAAGAUUAGAGUGAGAGAAAGUGCUUGCUGCCAAGCUUGAUGACCUAAAUUGAAUACCUGGAACCUACACGACAGAAAGAGAGAGCUGACUGCUGAAAGAUGUCCUCAGAUCUUCACAUGUGCACAGUGGCACCUAUCCAACCAUGCACAUAGUAUAUUAAAAAUUAUUUUUUAAAAAA
ensembl:processed_transcript AV026068 expressed sequence AV026068